GUAACUGACGCUGAGGGACGAAAGCUAGGGGAGCGAAAGGGAUUAGAUACCCCUGUAGUCCUAGCUGUAAACGAUGGAUACUAGGUGUUGGACGUAUCGACCCGUUCAGUACCGCAGCCAACGCGAUAAGUAUCCCGCCUGGGGAGUACGCACGCAAGUGUGAAACUCAAAGGAAUUGACGGGGGCCCGCACAAGCGGUGGAGUAUGUGGUUUAAUUCGAUGCAACGCGAAGAACCUUACCAGGGCUUGACAUCCCGCGAACCUUGAUGAAAGUCGAGGGUGCCUUCGGGAGCGCGGAGACAGGUGGUGCAUGGCUGUCGUCAGCUCGUGUCGUGAGAUGUUGGGUUAAGUCCCGCAACGAGCGCAACCCACGUCCUUAGUUGCCAUCAUUAAGUUGGGCACUCUGGGGAGACUGCCGGGGACAACUCGGAGGAAGGUGUGGAUGACGUCAAGUCAUCAUGCCCCUUACGUUCUGGGCUACACACGUACUACAAUGCUUCGGACAAAGGGCAGCCAACUAGCGAUAGUGAGCUAAUCCCAUAAACCGAGGCACAGUUCAGAUUGCAGGCUGCAACUCGCCUGCAUGAAGGAGGAAUCGCUAGUAAUCGCCGGUCAGCAUACGGCGGUGAAUACGUUCCCGGGCCUUGCACACACCGCCCGUC
rnacentral:rRNA from 1 species